AGGUUAAGUGAAUAAGGGCGCACGGUGGAUGCCUUGGCACUAGGAGCCGAUGAAGGACGGGACUAACACCGAUAUGCUUUGGGGAGCUGUACGUAAGCUAUGAUCCAGAGAUUUCCGAAUGGGGGAACCCAGCAUCUUUAAUAGGAUGUUACGAUUGUGUGAAUACAUAGCACAUUCGAGGUAGACGCAGAGAACUGAAACAUCUAAGUACCUGCAGGAAGAGAAAGAAAAUUCGAUUCCCUGAGUAGCGGCGAGCGAAACGGGAAAAGCCCAAACCAACAAGCUUGCUUGUUGGGGUUGUAGGACUCCAAUAUGGUCGUUCUUUCAGAUAGUCGAAUGACUUGGAAAAGUCAGUCAAAGAGGGUAAAAACCCCGUAGACGAAAUGUGGAAGACACCUAGGAGGAUCCUGAGUACGGCGGAACACGAGAAAUUCCGUCGGAAUCCGGGAGGACCAUCUCCCAAGGCUAAAUACUCCCUAGUGACCGAUAGUGAACCAGUACCGUGAGGGAAAGGUGAAAAGCACCCCGGAAGGGGAGUGAAAUAGAACCUGAAACCGUGUGCCUACAACAAGUCAAAGCCCGUUAAUGGGUGAUGGCGUGCCUUUUGUAGAAUGAACCGGCGAGUUACGAUUGCAUGCGAGGUUAAGUUGAAGAGACGGAGCCGCAGCGAAAGCGAGUCUGAAUAGGGCGUUUGAGUAUGUAGUCGUAGACCCGAAACCAUGUGAUCUACCCAUGUCCAGGUUGAAGGUGCGGUAAAACGCACUGGAGGACCGAACCCACGUACGUUGAAAAGUGCGGGGAUGAGGUGUGGGUAGCGGAGAAAUUCCAAACGAACUUGGAGAUAGCUGGUUCUCUCCGAAAUAGCUUUAGGGCUAGCCUCGGAAUUGAGAAUGAUGGAGGUAGAGCACUGUUUGGACUAGGGGCCCAUCUCGGGUUACCGAAUUCAGAUAAACUCCGAAUGCCAUUCAUUCAUAUCCGGGAGUCAGACUGUGAGUGAUAAGAUCCAUAGUCGA
rnacentral:rRNA from 1 species